rnacentral:rRNA from 1 species
ACGGGUGAGUAACGCGUGGGAACGUACCUUUUGGUUCGGAACAACACAGGGAAACUUGUGCUAAUACCGGAUAAGCCCUUACGGGGAAAGAUCUAUCGCCGAAAGAUCGGCCCGCGUCUGAUUAGCUAGUUGGUGAGGUAAUGGCUCACCAAGGCGACGAUCAGUAGCUGGUCUGAGAGGAUGAUCAGCCACAUUGGGACUGAGACACGGCCCAAACUCCUACGGGAGGCAGCAGUGGGGAAUAUUGGACAAUGGGCGCAAGCCUGAUCCAGCCAUGCCGCGUGAGUGAUGAAGGCCCUAGGGUUGUAAAGCUCUUUUGUGCGGGAAGAUAAUGACGGUACCGCAAGAAUAAGCCCCGGCUAACUUCGUGCCAGCAGCCGCGGUAAUACGAAGGGGGCUAGCGUUGCUCGGAAUCACUGGGCGUAAAGGGUGCGUAGGCGGGUCUUUAAGUCAGGGGUGAAAUCCUGGAGCUCAACUCCAGAACUGCCUUUGAUACUGAAGAUCUUGAGUUCGGGAGAGGUGAGUGGAACUGCGAGUGUAGAGGUGAAAUUCGUAGA